UACGUAGGGUGCAAGCGUUGUCCGGAAUUAUUGGGCGUAAAGAGCUCGUAGGCGGUCUGUCGCGUCGGCUGUGAAAACCCGGGGCUCAACCCCGGGCCUGCAGUUCGAUACGGGCAGACUAGAGUGCGGUAGGGGAGACUGGAAUUCCUGGUGUAGGCGGUGAAAAUGCGCAGAUAUCAGGAGGAACACCGGUGGCGAAGGCGGGUCUCUGGGCCGUAACUGACGCUGAGGAGCGAAAGCGUGGGGAGCGAACAGG
rnacentral:rRNA from 1 species